UCUCUGGUGGCUAAGACAGUAAAGAAUUUGCCUGCAAUGCAAGAGACCAGGGUUCAAUCCCUUGGUUGGGAA
rfam:Ovis aries breed Texel chromosome 2, whole genome shotgun sequence.